rnacentral:rRNA from 1 species
UAAGGAAUAUUCCACAAUGGUCGCAAGACUGAUGGAGCAACGCCGCGUGCGCGACGAAGCCCUUCGGGGUGUAAAGCGCUUUUCCCAGGGAUGAGAAUGGACAGUACCUGGGGAAUAAGCCUCGGCUAACUACGUGCCAGCAGCCGCGGUAAUACGUAGGAGGCGAGCGUUGUCCGGAAUCACUGGGCGUAAAGCGCGUGUAGGCGGUUGAGUUAGUCUGCUGUGAAAACGCUCCGCUUAACGGGGCGAGGUCGGUGGAAACUGCUCGACUAGAGGACGGUAGAGGUAGGUGGAAUUCCCGGUGUAGUGGUGAAAUGCGUAGAGAUCGGGAGGAACACCUGUGGCGAAGGCGGCCUACUGGGCCGGACCUGACGCUGAGACGCGAAGGCGCGGGGAGCGAACGG